GAUGAACGCUGGCGGCGUGCCUAAAACAUGCAAGUCGAACGAGGUCUUCGGACCUAGUGGCGAACGGCGGAGUAAUACAUGAGCAACGUGCCUAUAAGACCGGGACAAACGCAGAAAUGCCAUAAAUACCGGAUGUGGUGAUGAGGGGGCAUCCCUUUAUCAUUAAACAGUUUUUUGCUUAUAGAGCGGCUCAUGACACAUCAGCUAGUUGGUGGGGUAAUGGCCUACCAAGGCGACGACGUGUAGGGGGUCUGAGAGGAUGAUCCCCCCGAGUGGGACUGAGACACGGCCCACACACCUACGGGUGGCAGCAGUUGGGAAUCUUGCACAAUGGGGGAAACCCUGAUGCAGCGACGCCGCGUGGAGGAUGACGGCCUUAGGGUUGUAAACUCCUUUUUCAGGGAAGACUUAGGACGGUACCUGAGAAUAAGCUCCGGCUAACUACGUG
rnacentral:rRNA from 1 species